UGGAGUUUACACCAAAGGUGAUAGCGUUAGCAGUCAGCAUAGGAGAUGUCUAGGGAGAGGUAAAAACAGAAGAGCACAGCUCUGAAACCAAAGCCUGGGGUAACCUCUCCAGGAAGAGGAGGAGUUUGAAAAGGAGACUGAGACAAAGGGUAGGAGAAAAUCAGGGUAGAAGCUGGAGUUACAAAAGCUCAGGCUUACUAGUAUCAAAAGUAAUGACGACAUCUUAAUCAAUGGGCAUAACAACUACGAACUCCUUGGUUUGUUUAUUCACUGCUGAAUCCUGAGGGUAAGUUUGAUAGAAUGAGGGAGCAGAAUCUAGAUGGCAGAAGGUUGGGAGAGAAUAGGUAGUGGUCAAUGAAAUGCAACAUAAACCAUUCCCUCUGAGUGCUUGUCAGUGUAACAUGGGCAUGAAAUUGGACUGAAUCCAGAGGGGAAGCAGGGUCAAGGGUUGUUUUCCAUUUUGUUUAUUGACUUUUCUUUUUCUCUUUCUCCAACCACAGUGAGAAUUAAUGAUUAUAAACUUGGAGAGAAAAAUGAGAUUCUGAAGUUUGGGAUGGAGGGAAAUGGUAGAAAAGAAUCAGAGAGAGAGAGCCUGGGAAGAUGACAGUUUUUUGAAGGCCGAAGUGUCAUCUCUUCUGAAAGAAAAGAUAGGAAUGAAUGAAGGUAAAGACAGAUAUUUUAAUGUAAAUAGAAGGUGAAAUGAAGGAAUAUAAAAGUGAUGGCUCAAUAUUUUCGAGAAGGUUUUAAGUAAUAGUGCGAAUAAAGGAGAGAGGUGGGUUAGUCUUGAUAUAAACAGCCACUGUAGGGUGAGAGGAAUCAAAAAGAGUGACAACAAAAAAACCCCAGAAGUGUGGAGAAAGGCAAUUCAACAGUUCCAGAAACUCUGAUGAAAAUGUACCAUGUUAAGACAUUGCGCUAGGCACAGGAUCAGAGAAGAUACAAUCCCUUUCGUCAUGGAAAUCACACUUAGUAGGAGAGCAGCUACAAGGGACAGAACCAGUUGACAGUAGAUAAAAGUGAAACAUUAGCAUAGUCACAGGAUGAUUUUCAACAAUGUUUGCCAGACUUAGAACAGGAGGAGAGGAUGUUGAGUUGAGGGCUGUGAAGAUUCAAGUCAGCUCCUGACCUUAUGUCAGUAUUAACAAGGGCAGCCUUGAUCUUGGUGAACAUGAUGAGCAGUCCAAGAAAGGAGUACAAAGAAUAAGGGCCAGCAUUGGUCCUGUGUGGAGGGAGUGAAAAUGGGGUCAGGUGAAGAGGUAUCACUUCCAACAGGACCAUCAAGUUAGACAUCUUUUAAGGGAUAAGAGGCCCAGAGGUUAAGCCCUGAUAGCGGGUCACUGAGACACUGUGGAGGGAAAUGGAUAAGCCAGGAGUGUUUUGAAGGUGUAAUAAGGGCUGCACAUGUCAUAAUGGGAUCUAAACAAAUAGGAGGUAUACAAGGCUCGUGGGAAGUUGGCUCCCCAGAAAUCUGAGAGAAACUAAGACAUGUAAAGUCCUGCUCACCUAUGAAAGUUUCUAAAUACAGGAGCUCUGAUUCUAAAGUCAUCUCCAUUUAUAUUGGUUUACCUUUUUAAGACACUUUGUUGUUUCAGAGCUACCUUGCCAUGAAGAUUCAUUACCUUUUCUCUGCUCUUUUCUUCCUUGGCCUGCUGUCUACCUCAGUUUUUCUUCUUCAGUAAUUUCUUCUUUCAGUUUAGAAUAUCCUCAAGCAGGAUGAGCCUGGAGAAAAACUGUGAAAUUAUUGGCAUUCACCUUUAAAACCAUAAAAUGAUAAGGGCCUGAUAGAUAACAAUCAAAAGAAAGGAAUGGUGGACUGGGCACAGUGGCUCAUGCCUGUAAUUGCAACACUUUGGGAGGCCAAGGUGGGUGGAUCAUGAGGAACUGAAGGUGCUUAUGAAGUCAUUAGUAUCAUGGACUGUAAAAAUCAAACAUUGUGUAAUUCUCAGAAUACAACUAGACACUGCUCUCAUGGGAAGGAGAUUGAACUAUGUGUCUUGCGUCUUGGAAAAAUUGCAAAGCGACUGACUAACCAUGAAGAAAUAGCAAAUUAGGAAGACAGGAUGAUCAAUUUCCUUGUCUUAUUAAAAAAUAAAGUCUGCUUUCUUUUCUCUCUCCUUUUAUUCUCUAGUGACACAUUUAUUUAUUGACAGUUUGGACAAAAGUUUAUCAAGGAACUUUUCACGCUUAGGAUGAAUUACAACAAGAACCAACAUUUUCUUAGUUCCAGCAGAUGAGAGAAUACAUGCUUGAGAAACCAGAAUAGCUGUCCUGUUUGGAUCAUAGGGGAAAAUUUUGGGAAGUGUGAAGUAGGGGAGGGAAGAAUCUGGGGUGACAAUUAUAGUGUGACAUACACUGACAAGGGCAGAUGUGAAAAGAGAUUAUCAGGUUUUACUGUCUAUUACAAAUGGAGUUUUCCCUCAGUGUUUUGCAGGAGAUUUUGGUAAAGACUUAAUUAGCUUUAAAAUUUUUAUUUUUCAUUAAAAUAUUUGAUUGUAACAUUUUAGCACUUGCAUUACUAAAGUGAAUACUUCGUCCAGCUUUACAAGCCAAAUACACUCCACCCAGACCAGACCGGAAAAGGUAGGAAAGUGAUUCUUGAAGCCUGGGACUCCUUUCCAUUGUUCCUGGCUUCUAUGAUGCCUAUGAUACCUGCAGCCCAGUACCUUUCCUCCACAGUUCCCUGAUUCCACUAUGCUAGCUUCCCUCUGAAACCACUGUGUUAAAUUUUUAGGAAAAUAUGGGAUGAUGGAACAAUUCUAAUUUUGGUAGAAAAGACCGCCUACCCAUGCAGUAGUAUCUGUAUUAUUUUUUCUUUCUUUCUUUUUUUUUUUUUUUUGAGAUGGAGUUUCACUCUUGUCGCCCAUCUUGGCCACACCAUCUUGGGUCUCACCAUCUUGGCCAGGCUGGUCUGGAACUCCUGGCCUCAGGUGAUU